rnacentral:rRNA from 1 species
AGCGGCGGACGGGUGAGUAACGCGUGGAUAACCUGCCUCACACAGGGGGAUAACAGUUAGAAAUGACUGCUAAUACCGCAUAAGACCACGGUACCGCAUGGUACAGUGGUAAAAACUCCGGUGGUAUGAGAUGGACCCGCGUCUGAUUAGGUAGUUGGUGGGGUAACGGCCUACCAAGCCGACGAUCAGUAGCCGACCUGAGAGGGUGACCGGCCACAUUGGGACUGAGACACGGCCCAG